UACGUAGGGGGCUAGCGUUGUCCGGAAUCAUUGGGCGUAAAGCGCGUGUAGGCGGUCCGGUAAGUCCGCUGUGAAAGUCGAGGGCUCAACCCUCGAAUGCCGGUGGAUACUGUCGGGCUAGAGUACGGAAGAGGCGAGUGGAAUUCCUGGUGUAGCGGUGAAAUGCGUAGAUAUCGUAAGGAAGACCAGUGGCGAAGGCGGGUCUCUGGACAGUUCCUGACGCUGAGGCACGAAGGCCAGGGGAGCAAACGGG
rnacentral:rRNA from 1 species